AACGAACGCUGGCGGCAUGCCUAACACAUGCGAGUCGAACGAGACCUUCGGGUCUAGUGGCGCACGGGUGCGUAACGCGUGGGAACCUGCCCUUAGGUUCGGAAUAACUCCCCGAAAGAGGUGCUAAUACCGGAUAAUGUCUUCGGACCAAAGAUUUAUCGCCUUUGGAUGGGCCCGCGUUGGAUUAGCUAGUUGGUAGGGUAAAAGCCUACCAAGGCGACGAUCCAUAGCUGGUCUGAGAGGAUGAUCAGCCACACUGGGACUGAGACACGGCCCAGACUCCUACGGGAGGCAGCAGUGGGGAAUAUUGGACAAUGGGCGAAAGCCUGAUCCAGCAAUGCCGCGUGAGUGAUGAAGGCCUUAGGGUUGUAAAGCUCUUUUACCCGGGAUGAUAAUGACAGUACCGGGAGAAUAAGCUCCGGCUAACUCCGUG
rnacentral:rRNA from 1 species